CGGAUUGCAGGCUGCAACUCGCCUGCAUGAAGCUGGAAUUGCUAGUAAUCGCGGAUCAGCAUGCCGCGGUGAAUACGUUCCCGGGUCUUGUACACACCGCCCGUCACACCAUGGGAGUUGGGAAUGCCCGAAGCCGGUGACCUAACCGAAAGGGAGGAGCCGUCGAAGGCAGGCUUGAUAACUGGGGUGAAGUCGUAACAAGGUAGC
rnacentral:rRNA from 1 species